CCUACGGGAGGCUGCAGUCGAGAAUCAUUCACAAUGGGGGAAACUCUGAUGCUGCGACGCCGCGUGGGGGAAGGAGGGUCUUCGGAUUUAAAACGCCUUUCAUAGGGGAGCAAAUUAAAAGUAUAGUACCACAAGAGGAAGACACGGCUAACUCCGUGCCCGCAGCUAAGGUAAUACGGAGGUCCCAAGCGUUGUUCGGAAUGAUUGGGGGUAAAGCGUGCGGAGGCGGUGACGUAAGUGUGGUGUGAAACGCCCGGGCUUAACCCGCGAACGGCAACUGAUACUGCGAGACUAGAGUAAUGGAGGGGAAAGCGGAAUUCUCGGUGUAGCAGUGAAAUGCGUAGAUAUCGGGAGGAACACUCGUGGCGAAGGCGAGUUCCUGGACAUUAACUGACGCUGAGGCACGAAGGCGAGGGGAGCGAAAGGGAUUAGAUACCCCAGUAGUC
rnacentral:rRNA from 1 species